rnacentral:rRNA from 1 species
UACGAAGGGGGCUAGCGUUGUUCGGAAUCACUGGGCGUAAAGGGCGCGUAGGCGGCUAAUCAAGUCGGGGGUGAAAGCCUGUGGCUCAACCACAGAAUUGCCUUUGAUACUGUUUGGCUUGAGACCGGAAGAGGACAGCGGAACUGCGAGUGUAGAGGUGAAAUUCGUAGAUAUUCGCAAGAACACCAGUGGCGAAGGCGGCUGUCUGGUCCGGUUCUGACGCUGAGGCGCGAAAGCGUGGGGAGCAAACAGG